rnacentral:rRNA from 1 species
GUGAGGAAUAUUGGUCAAUGGGCGGAAGCCUGAACCAGCCAUCCCGCGUGAAGGAAGGCGGCCCUAUGGGUUGUAAACUUCUUUAGUACAUGAAGAACAGGAUCUACGCGUAGGUUUAUGACGGUAAUGUACAAAAAAGCAUCGGCUAACUCCGUGCCAGCAGCCGCGGUAAUACGGAGGAUCCGAGCGUUAUCCGGAUUUAUUGGGUUUAAAGGGUGCGUAGGUGGUUUGAUAAGUCAGCGGUGAAAGUUUGCAGCUUAACUGUAAAAAUGCCGUUGAAACUGUCGGACUUGAGUGUAAAUGAGGUAGGCGGAAUGCGUGGUGUAGCGCUGAAAUGCUUAGAUAUCACACAGAACACCGAUUGCGUAGGCAGCUUACUGGAGCGCAACUGACGCUGAGGCACGAAAGCGUGGGGAUCGAACAGGAUUAGAAACCCUAGUAGUCC